AUUGAACGCUGGCGGCAGGCCUAACACAUGCAAGUCGAACGAGUGGCGGACGGGUGAGUAAUGUCUGGGAAACUUCCUGAUGGAGGGGGAUAACUACUGGAAACGUUAGCUAAUACCGCAUACCAUCGGAUGUGCCCAGAGGGGAUUAGCUAGUAGGUGGGGUAAAGGCUCACCUAGGCGGCGAUCCCUAGCUGGUCUGAGAGGAUGACCAGCCACAUUGGAACUGAGAAACGGUCCAGACUCCUACGGGAGGGAGCAGUGGGGAAUAUUGGACAAAGGGCUCAAGCCUGAUGAAGCCAUGCCGCGGGUAUGAAGAAGGCCUUCGGGUUGUAAAGUACUUACAGCGGGGAGGCGUUACCCGCAGAAGAAGCACCGGCUAACUCCGUGCCAGCAGCCGCGGUAAUUC
rnacentral:rRNA from 1 species